rnacentral:rRNA from 1 species
AUACGUAGGGUGCAAGCGUUAAUCGGAAUUACUGGGCGUAAAGCGUGCGCAGGCGGUUUUGUAAGACAGUGGUGAAAUCCCCGGGCUCAACCUGGGAACUGCCAUUGUGACUGCAAGGCUGGAGUGCGGCAGAGGGGGAUGGAAUUCCGCGUGUAGCAGUGAAAUGCGUAGAUAUGCGGAGGAACACCGAUGGCGAAGGCAAUUCCCUGGGCCUGCACUGACGCUCAUGCACGAAAGCGUGGGGAGCAAACAGGAUUAGAUACCCUGGUAGUCCACGCCCUAAACGAUGUCAACUGGUUGUUGGGGAUUUAUUUUCUCAGUAACGAAGCUAACGCGUGAAGUUGACCGCCUGGGGAGUACGGCCGCAAGGUUAAAACUCAAAGGAAUUGACGGGG